UACGUAGGGUGCGAGCGUUGUCCGGAAUUAUUGGGCGUAAAGAGCUCGUAGGCGGUUUGUCGCGUCGAAUGUGAAAACCCGGGGCUCAACCCCGGGCCUGCAUUCGAUACGGGCAGACUAGAGUUCGGUAGGGGAGUCUGGAAUUCCUGGUGUAGCGGUGAAAUGCGCAGAUAUCAGGAGGAACACCGGUGGCGAAGGCGGGACUCUGGGCCGGUACUGACGCUGAGGAGCGAAAGCGUGGGGAGCAAACAGG
rnacentral:rRNA from 1 species